rnacentral:lncRNA from 1 species
CCCGACUCAUCUUCUGAACCUGUCGUCUCCCAUUCCCCCGCGUCCGGUGAUGUUCUCGGUAGCGUUCCUGAGAUCAAUCGAGGCGAGACGCAACGAGCGGCAGAUCCAUGAUUUCUCAUCAUUCUAUCCAAAGGAGAAAGCGGGGAUGUAACACAGGCAGACAAUCACAGCAAAUCAUGAAAUGAAUCUUCUCUAACCUACGAUCCGAUGAAGAAAUCCGAAGAGGCAAACCCUAGGUACGACAUGAAAGGCAGAGAGAGAGAGAGAGAGAGAGGAAGAAAGCUGCUGUUGCCGCUGUGAGAUGGAGGUCGAGGGAUCGGGACGGACCUGAAGAUCUGAGCCUACAUCGCCGGAGCACCAGGGGCUUCUCCUCCCGGAGCUCCGUUGAUUCCACCGCAGGGAGGGAAGCGGAGCCGCCAUCUCCGGGAUUUGAAUCCUCUCGGGAUGGGAU